rnacentral:rRNA from 1 species
GACGAACGCUGGCGGCGUGCUUAACACAUGCAAGUCGAACGAUGAAGCCUUAGCUUGCUUUGGUGGAUUAGUGGCGAACGGGUGAGUAACACGUGAGCAACGUGCCCAGGACUCUGGAAUAACCGCGGGAAACCGUGGCUAAUACCGGAUAGGUGCCGAGGCCGCAUGGUCUUCGGUUGGAAAGUUUUUGCGGUUCUGGAUCGGCUCACGGCCUAUCAGCUUGUUGGUGGGGUAAUGGCCUACCAAGGCGACGACGGGUAGCCGGCCUGAGAGGGUGACCGGCCACACUGGGACUGAGACACGGCCCAGACUCCUACGGGAGGCAGCAGUGGGGAAUAUUGCACAAUGGGCGCAAGCCUGAUGCAGCACCGCCGCGUGGGGGAUGACGGCCUUCGGGUUGUAAACCUCUUUUAGUAGGGAAGAAGCGCAAGUGACGGUACCUGCAGAAAAAGCACCGGCUAACUACGUG